GCUUAGUUGGUAAAGCACAAAGCUCUUAACCUUGUGGACGUGGGAUCAAGCCCCAU
rnacentral:tRNA from 1 species